GCUAGUUUGCUACCUCAUUACAAUUUAGGUUGUAGCAUAUACAAAAUUAUUGUGUGUUUAAAUAAAGUUCCUGUGUGUUAUAAAAGUAGUAGAGUAAUUUUGGUUGUGAAGUGCAUUAUCAACAAUUUGCUAUUUAUUACUUGGCUAUCUACUGUAUCACCAUGUCACAGGCUCUCUCAGUCAACACCACCUCAUAAGAUGAGGAAGUACAUUGUUUAUGAGCAUUGUGUGCUGCAAUUGUUCAAGAGAUGACCAGUUUGCAGCCGGACAUGCAACAGAGAAGACCAGCAAGGGGACCCUCCGCAUCAUGCAGACUUUGCCCUCACUGUGAGAAUUCCAAUAAAUGGAACAAGUAGGACACUUGAAUCAGUAUCACUGAUGAGGGGCCAUGAGCUGAUCUACGCUGCCAAACCCAUCAAUGGGGCGCUGGCAAAGACCUUGCCGCCAGCCUCACCUCUUGUCUGCUCACCAACGGUCAUUGAUGGGGAGACCAGAAUUAGAAACAUGUAAAGCCAGCACAUGGAGACUUGCAAGAUGUGGUGAAGUCCAGACUGAUAGACGGGCGUGAUACUGAUAUCUCUAAAUGAAAGACCUGGCACUCCGGCAUUAAAAUGUACUAGAUACAACUUUUACUUGUAUUGUCUUUUUUAUUAUUGAAUUGAAAGGUAUCGGUCAAUAUGGGAAGGGAGAAAUCCUGUGUAUUCUGCACCAGGAUCAGGCAACUCCUGAUGUAUACGGGACACCACUCUGAUAUGUUUGCAAGGGUAGCCCCAUUACCACCAGACAAAAUGCAGAUAUGCACAGUAUCUGUACCGGCUGGGAACAGUGCACAUUCUUAUAUUAGAUCACUGCUUCUAUGGGAUUAUGUAAAGGGUUGUUAAUUCUACAUGGACUUGUUACUACAUUUGAAAGAUAUAAAACUAAAUGUUCAAAUAGGCACAUUCUGUUCUACCCUGCAAGUCU